UACGUAGGUGGCAAGCGUUGUCCGGAAUUAUUGGGCGUAAAGCGCGCGCAGGCGGCUUUCUAAGUCCAUCUUAAAAGUGCGGGGCUUAACCCCGUGAUGGGAUGGAAACUGGAAAGCUGGAGUAUCGGAGAGGAAAGUGGAAUUCCUAGUGUAGCGGUGAAAUGCGUAGAGAUUAGGAAGAACACCGGUGGCGAAGGCGACUUUCUGGACGACAACUGACGCUGAGGUGCGAAAGCGUGGGGAGCAAACAGG
rnacentral:rRNA from 1 species